rnacentral:rRNA from 1 species
CUGUCAGGGGUCAGAAAGCUGCUUCCGGCCAGUGGAUCAACCCCAGAGGAAGUCACGGCUAACUUCGGGCCAGCAACCGCGGUAAUACGAAGGUGGCAAGCGUUAUUCGGAAUCAUUGGGCUUAAAGGGCACGCAGCCGGAACAGUGUGUGUUGUGUGAAAUCCCCCGGCUUAACCGGGGAAUUGCACAGCAAACUGCUGUUCUUGAGGCAGGUAGGGGUGCAUGGAACUCUUGGUGGACCGGUGGAAUGCGUAGAUAUCAAGAGGAACGCCAGAGGUGAAGACGGUGCACUGGGCCUGUCCUGACGCUGAGGUGCGAAAGCGUGGGGAGCGAACGGGAUUAGAUACCCCGGUAGUCCACGCCGUAAACGAUGUCUACUAGGCCGUGGGUGUUCUGACACAUUCACGGCCGGAGCAAAAGUGUUUAGUAGACCGCCUGGGGAGUACGGCCGCAAGGUUAAAACUCAAAUGAAUUGACGGGGGCUCACACAAGCGGUGGAGCAUGUGGAUUAAUUCGAAGCAACGCGCAGAACCUUACCUGGGUUUGACAUGCUUGUAUGCCUUCUCUGAAAGGAGUUAGGCUGCCUUCGGGUGAAACUUGCACAGGUGCUGCAUGGCUGUCGUCAGCUCGUGUCGUGAGAUGUCGGGUUAAGUCCUUUAACGAGCGAAACCCUUGCCGUUAGUUGCCAGCGAGUAAUGUCGGGGACUCUAACGGGACUGCCGGUGUUAAACCGGAGGAAGGUGGGGAUGACGUCAAGUCCUCAUGGCCUUUAUGCCCAGGGCUUCACACGUGCUACAAUGGCAAUUACAGAGCGACGCGAUACCGCGAGGUGGAGCAAAUCGCAAAAAAAUUGCCUCAGUUCGGAUUGCAGGCUGGCAAUUCGCCUGCAUGAAGUCGGAAUCGCUAGUAAUCGCGUAUCAGCAAUGACGCGGUGAAUGUGUUCCUGAGCCUUGUACACACCGCCCGUCAAGUGAUGGAAGCCGGGAGUACCCGAAGUCGGGUUGCUAACCUUUGGGAGGCGCCUGCCGACGGUAAG